UACGGAAGGGGCUAGCGUUGUUCGGAAUUACUGGGCGUAACGAGCGCGUAGGCGGCUUACCAAGUUGGGGGUGAAAUCCCGGAGCUCAACUCUGGAACUGCCUUCAAAACUGGUAGGCUCGAGUCCGGAAGAGGGGCGUGGAAUUCCCAGUGUAGAGGUGAAAUUCGUAGAUAUUGGGAAGAACACCGGUGGCGAAGGCGGCGCCCUGGUCCGGUACUGACGCUGAGGCGCGAAAGCGUAGGGAGCAAACAGG
rnacentral:rRNA from 1 species